AGUGAACGCUGGCGGUAGGCCUAACACAUGCAAGUCGAACGGCAGCACAGUAAGAGCUUGCUCUUACGGGUGGCGAGUGGCGGACGGGUGAGGAAUACAUCGGAAUCUACUUUUUCGUGGGGGAUAACGUAGGGAAACUUACGCUAAUACCGCAUACGACCUACGGGUGAAAGCAGGGGAUCUUCGGACCUUGCGCGAUUGAAUGAGCCGAUGUCGGAUUAGCUAGUUGGCGGGGUAAAGGCCCACCAAGGCGACGAUCCGUAGCUGGUCUGAGAGGAUGAUCAGCCACACUGGAAAUGAGACACGGUCCAGACUCCUACGGGAGGCAGCAGUGGGGAAUAUAGGACAAUGGGCGCAAGCCUGAUCCAGCCAUACCGCGUGGGUGAAGAAGGCCUUCGGGUUGUAAAGCCCUUUUGUUGGGAAAGAAAAGCAGCAGGUUAAUACCCCGCUGUUCUGACGGUACCCAAAGAAUAAGCACCGGCUAACUUCGUG
rnacentral:rRNA from 1 species